UCCCUGGUGGUCCAAGGUCUAAGACUCCGUGCUCCCAAUGCAGGGGGCCUGGGUUCGAUUCCUGGUUAGGGAA
rfam:Ovis aries breed Texel chromosome 5, whole genome shotgun sequence.